GCCCAGCCGUGGCCGCCGCAGCCUUUUAAGGUCUCCAAAUGCAAGGAGCUGGGGCCCCAAUGGGAAGGAGAUGUUGUGUCCCCACUGUCCCCAUGUGGCCUGCCUGCCUCAAGGGCAAUCCAAAGAGCCAAAGAGCAGCCAGGAGGAAAUCCUUGGGUGCCAGGAAUGGGUUCUGCCUUGCCAAAUAGAUGGCAGAGACUCUGAUAUGGGAGCCUGGCUGCAUGGCUGUGUGUCCCUCACUGGAGCCCCAGGACAAUAGGGCCCUCCCCAGAGCUGCUGAACCACAGAUGUCUGGGUCACCACAGUGGACCAGGAUUCCAGGAUGCCUUGGGGUCUACCCAGACUUUGGAGAGAUUUACACAGGGGGCCAGCAGAUUUUUUGUCACAUCCACCUCAAAGGGUCCUAGAGGAAUGAGAGCUGCAGAACUCUCGGAUGUAUGAAGAAACUGGAGAUGAGAAUGCCUUGGCUAUUUGUCUUCUGUUAUGGUUUAUAUCUAGAUGCCCACCCCCCAAGCCUCAUGUGCUCAGGCAGACCUUUUGGAAGGUGACUGGAUCAGGCAGGGUACUAUACUUGUAGGUGGAUUAAUCCACUGAUGUGUUUAUAGCUAAACGUGCUGUUAGGAGGUGGGGUCUGGUUGGAAUAAAUAAUAAAUGAAUAUGUUCUUUCAUGAGGACAAAUAUCAUUCUGAGGAGCAAUUGUAAUUACAAAUUUACUUUCAGCUAUUCCAUAUAUUGGUACUACCCUGACUGAAUGAAUCUGAGGAAGGUUUUCAGUAGACAAAGCAACCUUAUCAUGAUUCUUUGCUUUCCACUUUAUUUUAUCAUUUAUCAUUGCAGGUUUAACCAUAAUUCACCUUUUAUUCCUUCGCAAAACUGAAUCAAACAAUCCCUCGGGAAUAAACUUGGAUUCAGAUAAAAUUCCAUUCCACCCAUUUUAUUCAUCAAAGAUAUUUUAGGGCUCCUACUAAUAUUUUUUAACUGUACUAAUUCUUGUUUUGUUUUCACCAGAUCUUUUAGAAGACCCAGAGAAUUAUAUUUACCUAGAUAAAUAUAUACCUACAAACCCCCUUAAUACACUCCCGCAUAUUAAACCAGAAUGAUAUUUCUUAUUCACAUAUGCUAUUCUACAUUCAAUUCUUAAUAAACUAGGAGUAUUAACUCUAGUAUUUUCUUUCUUUCUUUUUUUUUUUGGUACCGGGGAUCGAACUCAGGUCCUUGCUCUUGCGCAGCAGGCUGCGAAACCACUGAGCUAAAUCCCCAGCCAACUCUAGUAUUUUCAAUUCUCAUCCUAGCAAUUAUUCCAGCUCUUCACAUAUCAAAACAACAAAGUAUAACAUUCCGACCCUUUAGCCAAUGUUUAUUCUGAAUUUUAGUAGCUAACCUUCUUGUUCUUACUUAUUUGAAUUGGAGGGCAACCAGUUGAAUACCCAUUUAUUAUAAUUGGAUAACUAAUAUCAAUUUUAUAUUUCUGUAUCAUUUUAAUCCUUAUACCUCUUACAAGUAUAGAAAACAAAUUACUCAAAUGAAGAGCCCUUGUAGUAUAGUCAUUACUUUGGUCUUGUAAACUGAAAAUGGAGACCCUGUCUCUCCAGGACAAAAUUCAAAGAAGAAGCACAAAGCUCCACCCAAAGCUGAAAUUCUUAUUAAACU
ensembl:lncRNA